UACGGAGGGGGCAAGCGUUGUUCGGAAUUACUGGGCGUAAAGGGCGCGUAGGCGGCUUGGCAAGUUGGGCGUGAAAGCCCUGGGCUUAACCCAGGAAUUGCGCUUGAGACUGCCGGGCUUGAGUGCGGGAGAGGUGAGUGGAAUUCCCAGUGUAGAGGUGAAAUUCGUAGAUAUUGGGAGGAACACCGGUGGCGAAGGCGGGUCUCUGGGCCGAUACUGACGCUGAGGAGCGAAAGCGUGGGGAGCGAACAGG
rnacentral:rRNA from 1 species